AGUCGACGAGGACGGAACAGGCAGCCGUCGCACCCUAGCGGUUUUAAAGAGAUGUGGGCGGGUCAUCCCACCGGGGCU
rnacentral:ncRNA from 12 species